UUGCAUCAGCACAAAAACUGAAAGACCCACAGGUGUCUUAAGUAUAGCAUUACUUGUGACAGUAGGGACCUGCACCUGUGUGUUGAUGCCCAUAUAUGUGGGCUCCCAUGCCCGACAGAUCGGCGCCCUCCAAAGGCAGUGCAGCCGAGGGCAAGGCUGCUUCCUGAGAUGGCCCUGAAGAGAUGGCAUUGUCCACAAGGGCGCGUGGUGGUGGCAGCCGCAGCAAAGAAGAGAAGGCGCCUGCGCGUUGAGGAGGCAGGAGGCACAGGGCAUCUGCAGGGCGGUCCUGGUGAGCUGGAAAAACCCGGGUAUUCGUUCUGCUUCCAGGAUCACACUCGGAGGCUGCCCGACCCAAGGGCUCUUUGCUGGGACCAUUCCCUUGCCUGGCCUCAGCACCACCUACUCCACGAUCUGCAGAACUGUGUCGUUUUUCAGGAUGCAAUGCUGGCUGGCGUCACCUCCUGUGCUUCCUGCCUACCUCCCUACUUCCCUGCCCCUCCUCCAAUUUCAGAACCCUGUCUCUCAGUGUACACAACCGUCUUGACUACAAAAUGGGCUGUGUGUGGCACAGCAGGGACCCCCAUUUCCCUACCCUGUGGAGAGUGCCUGGCACUCAGAGCUCUGAUUUGCAACGCUGUAAGAUGAAGUUCAUCUCCACCAUGGUGCACUUGGCCUCAUGCAGAAAGAAAAAUAAAAACUGCUUCCCUCA